GUCUUAGGCUCCCUGGGUGGUUGAAGCCAUCUACCAAUAAUUUACUCCCUAGCAUGGCUCUGCAGGCAGCAGCAGUGUGCUGGGAUCGAUUGCAGGCUGCUUUGUUUUGCCCCAACUGCAGCAAGUGUUUGGAUGCUAUGGGAAGGCACAUAUUUCUAAGAAAUACAAGUGAGCCCAGCUUGUCAGCUGCAAAGAGCGCACAGUCCUUGUGACCAUGCUGAACUGCAAUUUUCAAAGGUUUACAGCCUCCAGGGUCCCGAGAAGCCAAGCUCAAAAUGCUUUUGGUGAUAAAGAGUUCAAGGCUGAGGGUUUGGCUGCUCUCUGCAGCUGCUUGGAUGAGACACUUUCCGGUGUCUUGGUGUGCUGUUGAUUGGCACCACAGUCAGUAGGGACGAAGUCCCACUGGUUUCCCAGGAUGUGUCCCCUUCUCAAGCAACCAACCCAGCAGAUUCAGGUGGCUGGAAGUGGUGGCAACAUACAGCGCCACCCACAGCUAAAACUAAAACUAACUAGAAAGUGCAUUUUCUGAAGAAACUGCAGUGUGAAUGCUUGAAUCUGAAUGUAUGCACUGAAAUGAAUUAAUUGCUGAAUUUUGAGUUAAAAAUAUUGAAUGAGAUUAAAAAAAAACAAAAAAAAAAAACAAAUUUAACCUGAAAACAAAGGUGCUGAACUGCUAAAAGCUGAAGGUUACACAGAAGAAGAAGUUGGAAAAAAACUGAAAAUGUUUUAAAUGUAAAUUAGAAAACCCUAAGAAAUGAGAAAAGAACAUUUAGAGUCAGAAAACAUCUGAAUGAAUAUUAAAAGGUCAUAUUCUUUGAAUCACUGAAUGACUAAAAUGUGAUCCCUCCACUUGGACCCACACAGUUUAAAAAGUUUACAUCUCUGAGCUUUGAAAGACAAGAUGUUGGAAAAAGAACAACGAUGGCGACGUUUUGAGGGUAAAAUGAUGGCUUUAACACUGUGGACACAGCAGCAGUUGAAAGAGAAGUGUUUAAGAUGAAUCUUGGCAGAGUGGCAGAGAGAGCUCGUUAAGCAGGCAGGUGUGAGCCUGGUUGCUAUAGUGACCGCACCCAGUGGCUCCAUACACACGUACACAGACAUGCACCUCACUUUUGCUGCUUAAAAUGAACAGAAAAGUCAGGGCGAAACAAAUCGUUCCCAAAUGAAAAGUAAAAGUCGUAUUGACAAAAUUCUUUCACUGUGAGCGACAGCAAUGUCUAGUCUACCAAAUUCUCAGUUUUCAUGUCUGUGGAGUUUAUUAUAUGGACGUGGUGACAGUGGAAAGACACCAUGCUCUUCUGAUUUUCAAACGAACCUUCUGAGCCAUUUUAACAUUAGAGUCUAUGGAAGAGUUGGAGGGAGGAGGCUG
ensembl:lncRNA